UGUUAUUCUAAAUAAGAAUUAUUUUUGUUCGGUGUAAAGGAUGCAAAAAGUUCGACUUUUCGUCUUUUCGUCUUAAUGAUCACUUUGGGCAGGGAUAGUAAUACAAUGUGCUUUAGCACUAGGAGGCAACAAACAUGGAACAAGGUACAGUUAAAUGGUUUAACGCAGAAAAAGGUUUUGGAUUCAUCGAGCGCGAAGGUGGAGAAGAUGUAUUCGUUCAUUUCUCUGCAAUCCAAUCUGAAGGUUUCAAAUCAUUAGACGAAGGUCAAAAAGUAACUUUCGACGUUGAGCAAGGUGCACGUGGACCUCAAGCUGCAAACGUUCAAAAAGCUUAAUACUCUUAAAUGACCAAAACAGACCCCGUAAAAGGGUCUGUUUUUUU
rnacentral:sRNA from 1 species